UAAAAGACUGUCUAAGGAGUCGGCUGUUCAGUUUUUUUCCGGGCUGACUGUUCUGUGGACCGGUAUCGACGGCCGAGCAGUCAUUAGGACAUCACACUUGAGCUGACGAGCAGAGAAAUCAGGGGACAUGUCCACCCUGAUUGGUUAAUUUGAUCUCAUAGCAAGAAUGACCCCAGUUCAGUCCCCAGUACGGCCACCAUAACUGUUGGAAGAUACUCUGGCUUCCUCCCCCUUGCCAAGCGCCGUCAAAGUUGUUUGACUGGAUCUUUUCAGGCUCUCUGAAAUUUAGUGAAGCACCAUCUUUCAGGGCUGUGAUUGCUGAACUGGUCACAUCAUCGGCCCAGCUGCUCCUCAUGCCUCUAGCAGGCGCACAUUUUCCCAGAGGUCUGGCCAGCCCAGCAGUGUCCUGAAGUUACCAGAACUGUGGGAUGUAUUGUGACAGACUUAAAAUGUGAGGAAGAGGAGCCCUCAUCACCCAUCACCUCUGUUAGAUGAAAGGCCCCGAAAGCAGCCUGCCACCCCACUGGACACAGCUCAGCUGUUACAAGAAGUGUUUGACAGAAGUGGCAGAUGUGAGGAGCCGCUGGCUAGGUGAGACCAGCCGGUCGUCUCAGCUGCUAACAGCACGACUCCGGAGAUGAUCGGCCGGUCAACGUCUGUCGUCAUCCUGGGGAGAACAUGAUCUGAUGAACUGAUCUGUGCGGCUCUUUGGUGCUCUUCACCCAUCUGUCAUCCCCUGUGGUCUCCUUCACCUUGCAGAGACUCAUUACCUCCUAUGUUUAUUUGAAACCUCAUCUUAUUCCCAGUCAAUCCCCAGUGAGUUCUCUGGAGAUGCAGCGCUACAACAUGUGAGGAUACCAUGCAUGUAAGGGCAAACACUGGCCAUGAUCAGUCAUUUGCGAAGAACGAAAAUACAAGGAGAGUAGAGUGCAAGACGACAGAUGUGGCAAGUUAAAGUCGGAGAAAAGCAAUGAGGGUCAGAGGAGUCUGAAGUUAUAUGAGUCAACUUUCGUUCUGCGGUGGCCAGGAAUAUGUUGUCGCGGUAUUGAACAAGUGUAUACAACGCAGUGGAGCGGCAAGGCGGGGUCACGGUGUCACACAGUCUGAGGGUGGGCCUGUAGAUAAGAGCCUGGGAGGCUCAUCUCGCCCAGCUCUCCCCCGGCACAGGGACUGACUGCAGAGUACACCUGGCCUGGCAGCUUCCGACCAUCCAGGGACAACUGGGAAAGGCUUCUUCCUUGUCCACAACCCAAACUGACAAAGGGAAUCGUGCGGUGGUAGGAGCAAACAGAGCAAGGUUGACAGUGUUAAUGUGUGACUGCGCUAUCAUGCAGAGCAUUGUGUGUACGUGUGUGCGUGUCUAUGCAUGUGCGUGCACGUAUAGAAGCUCCAGGGCAGCAGGAGAAGGCCGGUCUACUAACAGCUGUCUGCUUUCCUAACCUUUGUGUUUGUCAUACCAGGUUAAAGGCAGGGCAUGGUAAGGAGAAAAGAAAAUAGGUGAAAAAAAAAAGAAAGUGAGAGAAAAAGGUCAGGCUUGAACAUAGAGAGAAAAUGAUAGUGCCAGAAUUGUAAAAGUUACUGCUGUGGAUGGAAACCUUUUCCUAACACUGAAUUGGCUUCCAAAGUACUCUUGAGCAAAGUUCUUCCAACAUUUUCUGCCCAAAGGGUGCUGCUGCGAAAGCCAGCUGUUAAAGGUGUUAGAUAUAUCCAUUUUAAGAAUAACUAUCAAGAUCACAUUAAUUAACACCUUAGUUUAAUUAGCAUAACACAUGAGAGACCAGGAUUUAGAGCAUUGAUGGCUUUUUUUUUUUUUCUCACAUGUGGUGUAAUGUAAAGGCCCCUCACUUUAACUUCACCUAACUCAACUUAUAUUCACUCUCAUUUUAAGCUCCUUGAAACUCGCAGAAGCCAUUAAAAUGACAAAAGAAGACAUGCAGCACCUAUUGUAAAACAGAAAAAGAUAAAAUAUGUACUGAAACAGCAGAAGCAGCCCUGUGUUUUGCGGGUGUGUAGCUUAUGAAACAGCAGCCCAUUUUCUGCCAGAGAUUGGUUCAAUUUUCUCUCAUGAGGUGUGCAGGUGACACAAAAAAAUGCAGAAGUCGUCACACUCGCUCCUCCCUAAAUGGCAAACAUUCAUCAACACCUGCAAGGUGCAGUGACAGGAGAAGCAUCGAGAACACUGCUAAAAUGUUAAAGAGUCGUUGUACAAUCGACUUCACAACCACAUUUAGGGAGAACUCUGGCCUAAAGUCCUUCUGUCCUGCUGUUACAGGGAACUCAGGGCUCCAUCUUGAUUGCUGUUUGUGUGUCUCCUGUCAGAAAAAUAUAGUUUCUGGCCACAUUUCAACAUCCACAUCAACACUGACUGUCUGGUACAUCAUAUAUACUUCAAUUCUGAUAGACCCAUCCAUGCCCUACGCUGCUGAUUUCACAGAUUUGACUUACUGAUUCUGUUUGUUUAAUUGGCUAAUUUGUUGCAAAAACCAUUAACUUUAUUACUUUUUUAUUAGCCCAGCAGCGUCAAUUGUGAGACCCACUUUGCCCAUGAACCAUGUUGUUAUCUUUCACCAAGCGGAUCCUAUUUUGUCCAAUGAAGAAGAUAAAACGGUAUCAAUUUUA